GAUGUUGUUCUCGUCGUCUAUAUAAAUGAUCGUGUCGUCGUUAUUUUAUGGAAGCGUAGAAAUCCUAUCUGGUGUAGAUAUAUGUAUAUAUAUAUAUAUAUAUAUAUAUAUAUAUAUAUAUAUAUAUAUGUAUGUAUGUAUGUAUAUAUAUGUAUGUAUAUAUGUAUAUUAUAUUUUUAUAUACACACAAAUGUGUACGUAUAUCGUUCGCGGCGAAGCGAUACGUUCGUAUACGGAAGAACUGUGUGAUUCCACUUAUCAGCCGAGCAUUAUCGCCUGUAGUUGAAAAGCUUAACAGCAACAGUACGUACGUUAAUUGGUUUCGGCAGACCGACAGAAUUCUCACAGUCUGAACUCCAACGUGCUCUCCUUAACUUCAAAAUGACAAAUUCUAGAAACCUGAUAUCCAGCCUGUGUCCUCUUUUUCCUGAAUUUCAGUUCGCUACCGUCGAUAUAUAAUUAAUGCCACAAGAUACAUUUUUCACGAUGGAACGUAUGUUUCUUCAGUGUGCUUCUCGAGGAAAGAAAUCAGAAAUGAGCAUUAAAAAUGGAUUAAACAUUUCUCUUGGAUUUGAGAAGACAAGGAAUUGAAGUAGAAUAUGAUGUGAAGUAGAAUUGACGUAGAAUAUGAUAUAUAUUGUACAGUCGCUGUAUUUACAUGAAGAUCUACGAGAUCCUUGUUCAAAAAGUCCGACAAAGAGGGAAUCAGACUACUAUUGAUAUGACCAGAAAAACUAUUGAUAUGAUCAAAUCGAUAUAUUCCUAGUUCGUAUUCAUUAGAUAUUUUUCUUUUUUUUGUUUUUAUACGUUCGAUAAAUUUGUAUCUAUUCGAUUCCAUUUUUAUCGCAGUAAUGCACGAACACACCAUUUAUCGGAGAGAAAUGAUAGGAAAUAAAUUUCACUUAUAAUUCAGAGUAUGACUUUAUAUUGUAAAUGUAGGAUAUAACAACAAUGUAAAUGGGAAUGAAAUCGUGCAAAUAUAAAUUAUAGAAUUCUUUUUUUA